AUUGAACGCUGGCGGCAGGCCUAACACAUGCAAGUCGAGCGGAUGAAGGGAGCUUGCUCCUGGAUUCAGCGGCGGACGGGUGAGUAAUGCCUAGGAAUCUGCCUGGUAGUGGGGGAUAACGUCCGGAAACGGGCGCUAAUACCGCAUACGUCCUGAGGGAGAGAGUGGGGGAUCUUCGGACCUCACGCUAUCAGAUGAGCCUAGGUCGGAUUAGCUAGUUGGUGGGGUAAAGGCCUACCAAGGCGACGAUCCGUAACUGGUCUGAGAGGAUGAUCAGUCACACUGGAGCUGAGACACGGUCCAGACUCCUACGGGAGGCAGCAGUGGGGAAUAUUGGACAAUGGGCGGAAGCCUGAUCCAGCCAUGCCGCGUGUGUGAAGAAGGUCUUCGGAUUGUAAAGCACUUUAAGUUGGGAGGAAGGGCAGUAAGUUAAGACCUUGCUGUUUUGACGGUACCAACAGAAUAAGCACCGGCUAACUUCGUG
rnacentral:rRNA from 1 species